AAUCGAUUCUUACCUUUAUGAAUUCCAAUCAAAACCAACAAUGCAACAUACAUCCUGUCAAUCAAAUCAAUUUCACGAAGACUACAAGUAUUCUACCUUCGAUUGUCACACCUUUUCUCAUUUUCCGGUUUUUAACGAACAACGUACUCCUGGUUGAAACAUGUCAAAAGUGUAUCGCACACAGACAUUUAAACAAACAAAAUACCGUUAUUUUAAUUAUUGAAAUAUGUAUUGUAUUUUAGUAUCGCUGCAUGGUUCAAUGAUAAAUGCACAAAGUCAUUCAUUUAACUAAAUCAGCUUAAGUGAAUGGCACAUAAUAUAUUCCUCGGUACAGUUUAAAUGUCCCAAUACUAUAGUUU
rnacentral:lncRNA from 1 species